rnacentral:rRNA from 1 species
GCCUACGGGGGGCAGCAGUGAGGAAUAUUGGUCAAUGGGCGGAAGCCUGAACCAGCCAAGUCGCGUGAGGGAAGAAGGCCCUGCGGGUCGCAGACCUCUUUGGACGGGGAGCAAGGCCGCCGACGUGUCGGCGGAAGGAGAGUACCCGUAGAACAAGCAUCGGCUAACUCCGUGCCAGCAGCCGCGGUAAUACGGAGGAUGCGAGCGUUAUCCGGAUUUAUUGGGUUUAAAGGGUGAGCAGGCGGCACGGCAAGCCGGCGGUCAAAUGGCGAGGCCCAAGCCCGCCCCGCCGUCGGGACU